UCUAAAAGAAUUCUGCUGCUACUUAUUUGGUUAAUUAGCACUCCCAUUAUCAUCUCUCCCUCUCGUCUCCUGCGCUUCUCCCAUCUUUGAUUUGGAACUUUCCAUCUCCCAUCUCCAAAUCUCAUUCUCUCUCUUAUUUCUCUUCCUUUCUUCUCAUUCUCAGGGUUCUUAGAUCAGAUCUACAGCUACAGAUCGAGUACGCCCAGUAACCUACGGACGUGGUCAUCAACGGUGAAGAGAAUAGAAGAAAUCCGAGAAGGCACUUGACGGAUGGAUUGGCUAAAAUUUUGGAUUUAUAUUAUGAAGAUCUGUACACCCUCCCUAACAAACAGCUCUCAUUUGGGUUGGUUUCAGAAAUUUCAAAAUUAUCAAAGAGUAAGAGGAGCUCUUCAUCAUUUCGAAUGCUAUCUAUUACAUUUGUUGGUGGAUGUCUUCGGGUAGCCAUUGGUAUUCUUGCUCAACUUUGUAAGCCUCACCUCUUCAAGGCUAGAAAAUCUCCAGCCUUGAGUUUCUUUUCUCUAAGCCUAUAUAUUCCCACCACCGAGCCUUAAGUUGUUUGUACUUGUAGUGGUAUUCUUAUCAUAUUCACUCUAAUUUUAUGAUGUUAUUUUGCCAAGACUACCAAAGGAGGUCGCAGCUUCAUUUCUCAAUUCCAUCAUUCAUGUAAAUAAUGUGGAAUAGUGGAAGUGAGAUCCUCGACUUCCAUUCUUAUGCAUUCCAAGAUAAGGUGGUUUCUUCUAGUUUGAAUUUUUAAUAUGCUAUUUUAAGUCAGGUUGUUCCUUCAUUGGAGGACGAUACUACUUUCAUCCAAGAACUAUUUGUGAGAAUGAGAUAUUAAUCCACGACUUCUGCAGCAUCAAAAAAUAAUUUGGUAUUUUUUUCUUGUAUCUGUGAAUCUAAGCUGGAUACGUCUGUCAAAUUCAGGGUGAGGUUUUCGGGUUCUUCCGUUUUUCUCGUAGUAGUGAUGAUAAUCAAACCCUAUAUGUCUCUUGGAACACCAUAUCAUGGGAGAGAGUUGGAUCAAAGAAAAUAGUCCGUGACCCUAUUUCUGCCUUUAAUGUUUCAGCUGAUGGAGAAUUCCUUACAGUGUAAAUCUCCAAUUAAUGCUUCUUAUAGAAGAAGAAUUUUGAUUCCAUUUUAUACUCUUUCCGAUUUGAGUGAUUGAAUUGGUUUGAAGAACUGACAUUUUUCUAUCAUUCGUAUGGUAAUUGUCUGAUAUUGGUUGUUCUUGACACUCUUCAUGAAGUGAUGGAUCAAGAUUCUACUCGAGGAUCACACAUCUGCUUAAAAAUUUUCAAGUAGCUCCAUUUCUACUCACACAUUUUCUUUGUCAUUGUUAUCUGUUUUCUAUUCUAUCCUGAUUCUUGUUUCAGUUGAACAACUGAAAUUUUCAAAUAGGCUUUGGGAGUUUUUUAAAUAUUUUGAUUCGAUGGAAUUGUUUCUCAGUUUUAUUUCUAGCCUAUAGAAAAUUUUCAACAUCAACAUGCACAAAAUCUAUCCUUGUUGGAAGCUUCCUCAUUGCUCAAUACACCCAACCAAAUCGAUCUCUCCCUGGAAGUCAUCUUAUCUUGGAGACACCUUGAUUUCUGGAUUUACAUUUGAUCAUGGCAAUCAGCAACCCGACUUUCCACAUCUUCAUCAAACCAUUGGGCUUCUUGAAAGGAGGAUUCUAACCUUUUGGAAGUCCUGAACUCACCCACUGAAUAUGCUCCAUCCAUCAUACAUUCAUAUAAGCAU